rnacentral:rRNA from 1 species
UUGGAGGGCAAGUCUGGUGCCAGCAGCCGCGGUAAUUCCAGCUCCAAUAGCGUAUAUUAAAGUUGUUGCAGUUAAAAAGCUCGUAGUUGAAUUUCGGGAUCAAUUUAUUGGUCGUGCUAUUGUACGUACUGGUAUUAUUGAUUCCUACCUUCUGACGAACCACGAUGUCAUUAAUUUGGUGUCAUGGGGAAUCAGGACUGUUACUUUGAAAAAAUUAGAGCGUUUAAAGCAGGCUCACGCUUGAAUACAUUAGCAUGGAAUAACGAAAUAGGACGUUUGAUUCUAUUUUGUUGGUUUCUAGGAUCGACGUAAUGAUUAAUAGGGAUAGUUGGGGGCAUUAGUAUUCAAUUGUCAGAGGUGAAAUUCUUGGAUUUAUUGAAGACUAACUACUGCGAAAGCAUUUGCCAAGGAUGUUUUCAUUAAUCAAGAACGAAAGUUAGGGGAUCGAAGACGAUCAGAUACCGUCGUAGUCCUAACCAUAAACUAUGCCGACUAGGGAUCGGAUGAUGUUAAUUUUUUAAUGACUCAUUCGGCGCCUUACGGGAAAC